rnacentral:rRNA from 1 species
UUGAACGCUGGCGGCAUGCCUUACACAUGCAAGUCGAACGGCAGCACGGGAGCAAUCCUGGUGGCGAGUGGCGAACGGGUGAGUAAUAUAUCGGAACGUGCCCGGUCGUGGGGGAUAACGUAGCGAAAGCUACGCUAAUACCGCAUACGAUCUACGGAUGAAAGCGGGGGAUCGCAAGACCUCGCGCGAUUGGAGCGGCCGAUAUCAGAUUAGGUAGUUGGUGAGGUAAAGGCUCACCAAGCCAACGAUCUGUAGCUGGUCUGAGAGGACGACCAGCCACACUGGGACUGAGACACGGCCCAGACUCCUACGGGAGGCAGCAGUGGGGAAUUUUGGACAAUGGGCGCAAGCCUGAUCCAGCAAUGCCGCGUGCAGGAUGAAGGCCUUCGGGUUGUAAACUGCUUUUGUACGGAACGAAACGGUGAGCUCUAAUACAGUUUGCUAAUGACGGUACCGUAAGAAUAAGCACCGGCUAACUACGUG